rnacentral:rRNA from 1 species
GACGAACGCUGGCGGCGUGCUUAACACAUGCAAGUCGAACGGAAAGGCGCUGCUCUUGCGGGGUGCUCGAGUGGCGAACGGGUGAGUAACACGUGAGUAAACUCCCCCUGACUUUGGGAUAACUUCAGGAAACUCGGGCUAAUAUCGGAUAGGAGCUCCUGAUGCACGGGGGGGGAUGGAAAGUUUCGGCGUUUGUGGAUGGACUCGCUGCUUAUCCGCUUGUUGGUGGAGUAGUGGCUUACCAAGGCUUUGACGGGUACCCGGCCUCAGCGGGUGACCGGCCACCUAGGGACUGAGGUACGGCCCAGACUGGUACGGUAGGCAGCAGUGGGGAAUCUUGCACGAUGGGCGGAAGCCUGAUGAAGCAGCGCUGCGUGCGGGAAGACGGUCUUCGGGGUGUAAAACGCUUUCGCCUGUAACGAAGCGUGAGUGGCGGGAACGGGUAAAGAAGCCCCGGCUAACUUCGUG